GUUUGUGGUAUUGCCUCAAGACAGGUCGGAACUGGUGAACAGGGAAAGGUGCAAGGAUGCUUAUCUGGAAUGAGGUCCUUUGGCAGAGUCGUGGGACCAUUUGCAUUGAGUCCAUUGACAGCUUUGUUUCUUUCUGAUAAUGCACCGUUCUAUUUCCCUGGAUUUUGCCUUCUUUGCGUAUCCUUGUCCUCGUUGAUCGGGUUCUUUCAAAGUCUAUUUAUUAAAGAUGUAUCUACUCCACCAUUGAACAAAGCAAUCAACAAGACCUCAAGGGACGAA